UGCCAGCCACCUGCCAGCAGACUCAUGGAAACUCUCUCACGAUGGCGAGAGGGGUCUUUGGCCCGGACAACGACAGACUUUUAGAUCCUCCUAAGCCGGCCUUGCUUUUCACACUGAAACCCAAAAGAGAACGUCACAUGUCCUUUCCGACUGGCCAGGAUGCAAAGUCACCCUGUUUUCUGCCUUA